CGCUCAGAGAAAACUGCUGCCCCAGAACCUCCUGCAUGGAGCCGCCGGCCCGCUCGAUGAUCCCUGAAGGAAACACACAGGUUCAAGAAAAGGAAUCAGACAGGUUCAAGAAAAGGAAUCAGACAGGUUCUAGAAAAGGAAUCAGACAGGUUCAAGAAAAGGAAUCAGACAGGUUCUAGAAAAGGAAUCAGACAGGUUCUAGAAAAGGAAUCAGACAGGUUCAAGAAAAGGAAUCAGACAGGUUCUAGAAAAGGAAUCAGACAGGUUCUAGAAAAGGAAUCAGACAGGUUCUAGAAAAGGAAUCAGACAGGUUCAAGAAAAGGAAUCAGACAGGUUCUAGAAAAGGAAUCAGACAGGUUCAAGAAAAGGAAUCAGACAGGUUCAAGAAAAGGAAUCAGACCUGUUCAAGAAAAGGAAUCAGACAGGUUCAAGAAAAGGAAUCAGACAGGUUCUAGAAAAGGAAUCAGACAGGUUCAAGAAAAGGAAUCAGACAGGUUCAAGAAAAGGAAUCAGACAGGUUCUAGAAAAGGAAUCAGACAGGUUCUAGAAAAGGAAUCAGACAGGUUCAAGAAAAGGAAUCAGACAGGUUCUAGAAAAGGAAUCAGACAGGUUCUAGAAAAGGAAUCAGACAGGUUCUAGAAAAGGAAUCAGACAGGUUCUAGAAAAGGAAUCAGACAGGUUCAAGAAAAGGAAUCAGACAGGUUCAAGAAAAGGAAUCAGACAGGUUCUAGAAAAGGAAUCAGACAGGUUCUAGAAAAGGAAUCAGACAGGUUCAAGAAAAGGAAUCAGACAGGUUCUAGGAAAAGAAUCAGACGGGUUCUAGAAAAGGAAUCAGACAGGUUCUAGAAAAGGAAUCAGACAGGUUGUAGGAAAAGAAUCAGACGGGUUCUAGAAAAGGAAUCAGACAGGUUCAAGAAAAGGAAUCAGACAGGUUCUAGGAAAAGAAUCAGACGGGUUCAAGAAAAGGAAUCAGACAGGUUCAAGAAAAGGAAUCAGACAGGUUCAAGAAAAGGAAUCAGACAGGUUCUAGAAAAGGAAUCAGACAGGUUCAAGAAAAGGAAUCAGACAGGUUCUAGAAAAGGAAUCAGACAGGUUCUAGAAAAGGAAUCAGACAGGUUCAAGAAAAGGAAUCAGACAGGUUCUAGAAAAGGAAUCAGACAGGUUCUAGGAAAAGAAUCAGACGGGUUCUAGGAAAAGAAUCAGACGGGUUCUAGAAAAGGAAUCAGACAGGUUCUAGAAAAGGAUCAGACAGGUUCUAGAAAAGGAAUCAGACAGAGGUUCAAGAAGGAAAUUCUAAUUUACAAGAAGAUAAAUCCAAAUGUUCAGAGAUUCAAGUCAACAAUUUAAGAGAAAAAAGUCAAAUAUUUUCAGAAUUUGAAGUCAUAAAUGUACAAGAAAAGAACUCAAAAUGCUCAGAUUAAAAAACUAAUUUAGGAAAAAAAACGUGGAAUACAGUCACAAACUUCAGGAAAACCCAAACUCAAAUAAUUUCUGAUAUUUAUCUCACAAAUUUGAAGGAAAAAAAACUCUGAAUAUCUGAGCUUUAGGUUCCAAAUGUCUGAGAAAAAGACUCACAAAUUUACACAUUUAUCUUAAUCUCUUUAUUUAAUUUAUCAACUAUCUCUGUGGUUGUUGCUGCUGAAUAUUUUGUAUUUUUAUUAUUUUACUGAUUAAAUUUAUUCUUAAUAUAUGUUUGGAAAUGUUGUGUACUCCACUGUGUUUUUAGUGUGUACUCCACUGUGUUUUUAAUGUGUAUUUCAGUGUACUUUUCUGUGUACUCCACUGUGUUUUCCCGUGUAAACUGCAUCCUGCUGUUUGACCAACGUUAUGUAACCGGCUGUUGCAUCAUCACUCUGAGACGAGUCGUGUGUUUGCAGCGACCGAACCGACCAAUCAGGAGCCUCGGGUGUCAUAUGAUCAGUGUGUGCAGCUGAAACCCAUCUGAUGCGCAGAACGUCGUGUUCAGACACAACCACUUCUUCAGCUGCUCAACCAGCAGUCCAGUCACACGUUUUUACAUCUUUUAAAACAUGCUUUACUUCAGUUAACGUGAAGCUUACCAGUUCUGAUGCAACAAACUGAAAAAUCACAUUUAAAUUUGUCAAAACAUGAUCAUAAAAAUGCCAUUCUUUCAGUUUUGGGUGCAGUUUGCUUAAAAUACUGAACAGAAUCCAGAAACAUUUAAGAUCAUCUCGAAAAUUA